UCCAUCGAACACGGUGACGAACACGGAAAGCAACCACGUGGCGACGAACACGGCUCCGACUGCCGCGUGGGCCAAGAGCAAAGCGAAUGGUCAGUCCGCUGCAACAGCAAGCGAGGACUGCCCGACCGGCAGCCACGAGCGGCACUCCCGGCUCCCGCGAUGGCGAUGCCACGGCGGUCAGUCCGCCGUCCGCGCGCUCCGGUGGGCAGUGCCGGCUUGCCGCCGUCACAGAGUCACACACACCCUGUCGAGCGAAUAUGCAUGUCUUCUCAAGGUCUAGCUAGCCAUCCACUCGAACUCUCUUGUUCUUGUUACCCAGAUCUACCAGGAGGAUGAUAAUAAUCUGGUCGGCUGGUCUGCUACAUGCCUGCUAUCUGACGACGAAUUCCUGUCGCGGAAUCAGUGUUGAUUUUGACCUCACCCACACCACGGUGGGUGGACUGACGCGCGCAAGAAUCAGGUAAGAGAUGAACAAAACGUUCCCUUCCAUUACCUUUUGGCACAAUCUACUGAACUACUGUAUCCGCACUAUGGGUCAGUUUGAGGGAGCUUAAAAUUCUGAAAAGCAGCCGGUUGAAAGCCAGCUUACGAGAAUCUGGAAAAGCUAGGUUUUCCAGUUUCUGCUUCUAGUUUAUUUUCUUGAUUCUACAACUAUAGCUUCUCUCAGAAUCUGAACCAAAAGCUGGACUGUUUGGGGGGAGCUUCUGAUUCUGGAAGAAGCUGCAGCAGCUGGACUGUUUGGGGGGAGCUUCUAAUUCUGGAAGAAGCUGCAGCAGCUAGAAGCUCCCCCAAUCAGGCCCUAUGACUCCUUGGCUUAAGCCAAGCACACGCCCAUUUGAUGAGAAUUCUUUCAAGAGUUUUACGAAAAUACUAACUUUUCUUCUUCCUUUCUGAGGCAUCUCAACAAACUCUCCACUUGUGAUUCAUGCUUGUGCCCACUGCCCAACCACCACCAAACUACUAUGUUGUAUCUCCUCAUCUUGCUCUUGAUCUUUGCCCCCUCAGCAUCGGCGACCGGGGGAGCGAGUGGCACAGUGCCAGUUCUGAACCCCAUAUCCAGGUUCUGCAACUCGACGGCCGCACGACGGACCUACCAACCGAACAGCACGUUUGAGGCCAACCUUUUGCUAGUCUGGUCGCUGCAAUCGUGGCGAACGCCUCGGCGUCCGGUGGCUUCUCCGCUGGCUCCAUUGGCGCCGCCCCAGACACCGUCUACGGCCUCACGCUCUGCCGAGGGGACGUCACGGGUGCGGACUGCGCUGCGUGCCUCUCCUCAACAUCUGUGGACGACGUACAGCAGUGGUGUGGCCGCAGUAAGGAAGUGACUGUAUACAGGGACACAUGCCAGCUUUGGUUCUCCGAGCAGGACUUUGUCUCUGCUGCCAGUAAUAUCCCAGAGACUGCAGCAUGGAACAUAAACAACAUUACCGAGCCAGUGUUCCCUGGGUGGGACCCAACAACGCCGAGAGUAUUUCCUUUGUCACUGGCACCGUGUAUACACUACUUCGUGAAACAGCAAAGUGGGCAGCGUACAGCACCAAAAAGCGAUUUGCCACCGCGAAGAUGGACAUCGGUGGAGCCUUUCCGACAAUCUAUUCCCUGACGCAGUGCACACCAGACCUUUCUUCAGAAAGUUGCUUCAAGUGUCUUCAGGGUACUAUUCAGGAGUCUCUGAAGUGGUUUGAUGGGAGGAGAGGGGGAAGGAUUAUUGGGGUGCGUUGUUUGAUAAGGUUCGAAACAAGCAUAUUCUACAACGGGGAGCCCAUGCGAAUUAUGGGGCCAUCAACGAAUUCAACAUCUGCAGAUGGCAAUAGAAGCAAGAGAAAGCUCAGUGGUUUGGCUGUAAGCAUAGUGUUUCCCGUGAUGGGUGUACUUCUCUUCUGCGUCAUCCUUGGCUUCGGAUGGAUCAUCAGAAGGAAUAAAAUAGGAAAAGCUUCCCUGCAAGAAAAAACUUCUACAUACUUGUAUGAAGAGGAAGCACUAGCCUGGCCCAUACAAGGACAGAGCUCGGAGUUGUUGUUUGACUUUGCAUGCAUAAUACGUGCAACCAAUAACUUCUCUCGAGAAAACAAAAUUGGUGAAGGUGGCUUUGGUACAAUAUACAAGGGUAAACUUGACAGAUUAGAGAUUGCUGUUAAGAGGCUUGAUUCACAUUCUGGUCAAGGUUUUGUGGAGUUCAGAAAUGAAAUUCAACUUAUAGCCAAACUCCAGCACUCCAAUUUAGUUAGACUCCUGGGUUGCUGCAGUAAAGGAGAAGAGAAGAUAUUGGUGUAUGAAUAUCUACCAAACAAAAAGCCUAGACUUCUUCAUAUUUGAUGAGCCAAAUCAAAGAGCUUUGCUAGAUUGGAACAAACGACUGGCAAUAAUUGAAGGGAUAGCACAAGGACUCCUGUACCUACACAAGCACUCCCGUUUGCGCGUCACACAUAGAGAUCUGAAAGCAAGUAAUGUUCUCUUGGAUCAUAAUAUGAAUCCUAAAAUUUCAGAUUUUGGGCUAGCUAAAAUAUUCAGCUCUAAUGAUAUUGAAGGAAACACAAAAAGGGUGGCGGGUACAUACGGUUACAUGGCUCCUGAGUAUGCUUCUGAGGGUCUCUUCUCGGUCAAAUCCGAUGUGUUCAGUUUCGGUGUUCUGACCCUCGAGAUCGUAAGUGGGAAAAGAAAUCCUGGCUUCCACCAGUAUGGUGACUUCCUAAAUCUUCUAGGAUAUGCCUGGCAGCUAUGGACAGAGGGAAGAUGGCUCAAACUCAUAGAUGUGGUCCUGUUAACCGAUUGCCUAGUAGAAGCACCACUGAUGAUGAAAUGCGUCAACAUCGCAUUGCUAUGUGUACAGGAGAAUGCGGCUGAUCGACCUACCAUGUCAGAUGUCGUGGCAAUGCUAAGCAGUGAAGGGGUGAGUCUGCCUGUGCCCAAGCACCCAGCAUACUUCAACGUAAGGGUCAGAAACGGAGAGGCGUCGUCAGCUAUUGAUCUUGAGCUGUGCAGUGUGAAUGAAGUGACCAUUACAGCCCCAGGUGACCUUAUCCUCUGGAUACUCAAGUAACACAGAGGACCAGUGCAUUCGGCAUUGGAUGACAAGUCAGCUUUCAUUGGAACAGUACUAACUAAGGUCUCCUGUUGCAAGCAGUUUUUGAGAUGAUAGAAGAAUAUUCCUGGCCCGAAGCUGGAUGAUUAAAUGAUUAUGUGAUGUUCUUUGUUUCCUCUAGAAAACAAUGGAAGUUUUUAUUGUUUGGUUUGCAAUCAAGGAUCUUUGUUUUGCUCUUGUUGGGAUCGUUUGGGCAUUUCAAGGACAUUUUUAGUGGUUGAUCGAAGAAAAAUUCUAUUCGACACUGAGUUCAUAUUUUGAGGGUAUUCUGGUACAAUUUAUUUUUCAUAGAGAAAAGGCCAUACCGCCAUACUGCCCUGCUUUUAUAUAUCGAAAACGCGGUACAAUUUAUUGGAGUUACUUACUUCAGAAAUGAGAACUACGGCAAUGGUAAUCUUGAAAUCACAACGA